rnacentral:rRNA from 1 species
GAUGAACGCUGGCGGCGUGCCUAAUACAUGCAAGUCGAGCGAACGGACGAGAAGCUUGCUUCUCUGAUGUUAGCGGCGGACGGGUGAGUAACACGUGGAUAACCUACCUAUAAGACUGGGAUAACUUCGGGAAACCGGAGCUAAUACCGGAUGAUAUUUUGAACCGCAUGGUUCAAAAGUGAAAGACGGUCUUGCUGUCACUUGUAGAUGGAUCCGCGCUGCAUUAGCUAGUUGGUGGGGUAGCGGCUUACCAAGGCUGUGACGCAUAGCCGGCCUGAGAGGGUGACCGGCCACAUUGGGACUGAGAUACGGCCCAGACGCCUACGGGAGGCAGGAGUGGGGAAUCUUGCACAAUGGGCGGAAGCGUUAUGCAGCAACGCCGCGUGCGGGAUGACGGCAUUCGGGUUGUAAACCGCUUUCGCCUGUGACGAAGCGUGAGUGACGGUAAUGGGUAAAGAAGCAACGGCUAACUACGUG